CCACUCGUGUGGACGUGCAGCACACACUGCAACAGCUGAAAGUGAAACAAGCUUCUACACGCGGUGACUAACAAUGCACCAAACUUCUUACCAGCUAAGUAUUUCAAAGCUUGCAUGCUCUUACCUUGUUGGGAAGCAUUCGGCAAACUUGAUUCAUUCUCCUCCAUUUCUAACAGGGAUAACCUCCACUGCAAGGAGCAAAGCUGUUCUACCACGUUGGCUGAGUCGCUGCGCAAGUUUUGACCUCCUGACUUUCAACUAUAGCACGAAAAGAAGAUCACUCAAACCUGCAUCAUAUUAACGUAUGAAGGGCACAAGAAAACUAAGAAUGAAGUCUUCCAUAUUCAUCAAGAACAUUCUACGCCUUGCCACUUAGUUGGAGAACUGCUUCUCAGAGCAAAUUUAUCAAGACCAACCUGGUUCUAGAAGUACCUCAAUGCUUAAUCACAGAACACCCCAAGUGGGAAGGGACCCACAAGGAUCAUCAGUCAAACCUGACUCCUGGAUCUACACAGGACAAAACACAAAUUAAGCCCUUUGUGUGAAAACAUUGUCCAGGCACACCUUGAACUCCAGCAGCUUGGAGACUCCACACAAGAGCUGGGCCUUCAAACCACAAAACUGUGAGCAUUUCUUGACCUUGAGUUGUGUGGGGUUUUUUUGUUUUGUUUUUAGUUUGUUUUAGUGCUACCUGGAAGUUAGUCUUAUGACAUGCCUUAGUAACAUAACCCCUAAUAUUCAGAUAUGAAGAGAGGGUAUUGUUAUAACUGCAUCUGAUAGUACCAGCUAAGUCUGGAAAGAUAUACACUUGUAAUUAAGACUUUUCUGAGAACAGUAAUCUUACCAAACCCUUAACUCACAGACAGAGCAAGAUGAGUUUCACAAAACCGAAAAUUUUGGAUGAUUUCAAAGAACGAGCACAAAACAACCAAAUGAAAUAUGGCAACGAUAUUAGAGCAUGCAGAGGAGAUUAAGAAUACUUGGCUUCAAUAUGAAGUAAUUAAGGGUCUAGAAAGAUAAUAUAAAUAACUGUAUUUACUACAAUUAUUCCAUAAACUAAACAAGUGUGACAUGUUGUACCAUGGCACACAGUAAGUUGAACAGUUCUGCAGAAGAAAGGCUAGAAGCACACAGUAUGAGGGGAUACAUUUCCAAAGCACGUGCAUAUAUGAUGAAAGCUGCAGACCACUGAGAAUCAGCCACUGAUUUGGCUCUUAAUUUCUUGCAGAUAUUUAAUUACCCUUUCACCAGUUUCACUCCCGUGCUCUCCAUAUCAGAGUGUGGUAUAAUGAAAGCAAAAUUAGGAGGAACAGAAAUGCAAAUUCCCGAUCUAUCAUUUUUUUUUGCAACUGACCUCAUAAAAUGCAGAAGUGAGAGUUGCAACCUGGUUUUCAAUUAUUUAUACCUUGCUGCCUUUCUAAUUUCACAUUUUCCAUUCAAUUUUAGCGAUUUCUCCUUCAUAUGCAUAUUCAGUUUUUAGACAAAACCAACAGUUGCCAAGGCACGAUGUUAGACACAAGCAUUCAUGCCACCGACUGCCUUUGUGUUUACUCCUGCAGCACGGUCCAAACUCGUGUUUGCACUCUAUUCUGAGCAAACACUUAGUUUUGCAACUUCUUAAAAUUCUUUUGAGCACAUAAAAUGCUCAAAUCUCCUUCAAACAGAACAAUUAUGAUAAGAAAAAAGUUUUAGAAUAGGUGUUUGAUAGAUGAUUUUCAUUCACCUUAAAGCCAAGACAGGAUUAGUUGAGUAGAAACAUUUUCACGAAGGCAUGUUUUCCAUCUGGCCUCAAAGACUCCAUGAUAUUCUCUGCAAAAGAACACAUCAUACUUCAUAAUAUUGAAAUAGAAAUCCUACUAUUUACAACAGUGUAACUUCUAAAUACAGAUAGAAGAUGCAUUUUCCUGACCAUGCAGAAGCAAAGUAGAAUUUAUUUUUAAACAUGCAGCUACUUUACAGGUAUUUCAUUCACUUAAAGAAAUGAAGUAAGAACCUACUGCCUGAAGUGUGAAUAACCCAAUCCAGCAAGGUCCGAGCCAAAAGUAACAGGUUUGCGUGCAGGCAGCUUGUGGUUGGUUCUGUGCUAUUACACAACACUGGACAGUUGACUAUCCUGUGCCCUGCUUAUCCAUCAAUAACAUAGCAGUAUUCUUACUACAAUGAAGCCUAUUAUCUUGAUUAUUUCCUUUUUUCAACUAUUUCCCAUCAGCAAUCCAUUAUUCAUAUAAAUCCAUACAAAGUCCUCUCCUCCUUUCAACAAAAUACAUGCGAGUCAAUGUAUUCCUUCUCUGAGCAAAACAGGAUAGCUCAGUACAUAUUUAAAUAGUUUCUGUGUAUAUCACAGUCAUUCAGUACUAAUCAUAGCUAACCAUAAAGAUUGUACAGAUAACUCCAUUAAUAACUCUGUCGCCACAGUAUAGAAAAUAUAGAACAAGCAAGAAUCAAUAGCAACUCAAGUUGUGCCGGUGUAAUUUCCCACAAACACAAUCAUAUUACAGCAAUGAAGUGGUAAUAAUGGGGAAAAAAAAAAAAAAAACAUACAGAGAAACAAUAACAACAACAACUACUCCCACGCGCUGCAGCUCUUUCCAAGACCUCCUGUUGACAUUCCCAAUGCAGAACCCACAGUGCUCCUCCAGCGCUCCCCUUUGCUUUACAGGACUGCAGCCAGCAUUAACCAAGACAAAUACACUGAACUCACAGCAGCAUGGUUUACCUCUACCAAACACCACACUUCCACCUAAGUUUUACUCAGUAAAUCUAAUGCUGCAGCAGGUACGUCAAAACAGAUCUCUUUGAGCACACAAGAAAACAGGGAAGAGAAGGAACAGGCUUUUCCAUAUUUUCCUAUGCAUGUUUUCAGAAAUCUGACCAAAUUCUCUUUUAGCCAAUAAGGAAAAUAGAAGCUGUAAAACAAAGUUUUAAAAAGACA